rnacentral:lncRNA from 1 species
GCGUGUGCGAAGCCAGCCCUCUAUUUUAACUACCCUUGGCCUGUUUGGGAGAGCGUCGUGAGAGAUUUAUGCCUGCUCACGGAACACCGCGCGCUGGGUGCGUUGCACCUGUUCAGACAUAAGCACGCUAUUACAGAUGCUGGGGAAAAGCUUCCCGAUCCACGCGGGGACGUAUUUGGGGAGGGGGUGUCCGAUUGUUUACAGGGUCCCUCCUCUCCGAGCCCCGCCGUCCCCUAUUGUCUAGGGAGCCGAGCUCCGCGCCCGGCCCCGCCGCGCACCUCCCUGCCCGCAGCGAGCGGAGCCGGCGGGCGGCGGGGAGGAAGGUGCGGCGGGGCCGCCCCGGAGCCCAACCUGUUGCUGCGGCGGCCGAGCGGGGAAGGAGGGCCGUCGGCCGCCCCGGAGGAGGGCUUUGUCUGCGCCCGGCUCCGCUCCCCCCCGCCGCCGCUCCCGCUCCCUCUGCCCGCCCGCUCUCGCUCUCGCUCUCCCUCUCGCUGUGGUUUUUGUAAGGUAGGUUGCAGCGCGUGUGUGUGUACACAACAUCGAGAGCAGGAAAAUGGACUCAUUAGGGAGGCAGGCGGUCGGGAGCGCUCGCGCUGUAGUGCCGGGGAGACGGAGGCUAUGAGGAGGCAAACUGAGGACGGGGGAACAAGCAGCAUAAAAAAGAAGUGUUGAGAGCUGCUCUUAACCCUUUUGGAGUCCGAAGUCAAAAGAUGCUGUAUCAUCACAGGCACAGAGACGGAAAGAUUGCACCCUGCACUUAACACAGAGAAACCUGAAGUAACUUGUGUUACUGUCUCACGAUCCUGGAAUCACAUGAAUAAAGCUGAAGUGGCAGUAAGUAAAAUGUCUUCU